rnacentral:lncRNA from 1 species
UGCCACAUAAGUCUAAGCUUUUAGUUUGAAUGAAACUUAACGCCAUCUGUUUAGUACUUGGGAAUAUCCCACAGACAGAUAAUACAGUUACGAGGAAGGUAUCAUAUUGACAUGAAAAUAUCAUUUGAAUUCUUUUCCAGUGACAACCUUUAUUUUUCCAGUUGAGAAUGGCCGCUAAUUCAAGGAUAAAUCAGUAUGCAAAUAAGAAAACACUUUGCUACAUUCAAUAAAUGUUAGCACUUAAUCAAGGAUCUUUUGGAAAGAAUGAAAAGUCAUAUGCACUACAUGAGCAAAACUAGACAAGUACAGCCAGUAUAAGAAGAUUCUGGUUGCUGGAGUAACUUAAGUACUUUAUCAAGAAUAUUCAAAAAAGAGUUACUAUGAUCUGUCGUAAACACUUACACAGUUGAAGAUUGCGGGUGCACCUGGUCCUGCAUUUACAGAGCAUCAAGCAUAAGUACAAAAAAGACGCCAAACCCCACACUACGCAAUUUAUAACAAGACCAUGAAAUAAUAUCCAGACAUUGAAAUUGAUACACAUGAAAUACUGAUGCUAGACAAGAGUGGUUGCUCUGAUGGUAAGCAACCCCACUUCCAACCGAGAGGUUGUGAGUUCGAGUCUGCCCAGGAGCAAGGUGGGAAGUUCUUGGAGGGAAGGAUGCCGGGGGUCUAUUUGGAAACAGGCCUCUCUACCCAGGGAUAGGGGUAAGGUCUGCGUACAUAAUAUCCUCCCCAGACCCCACUAAGUGGGAUUAUACUGGGUUGUACUUUUGAGACAAGAGGGGCUUGCUAUGAUGGUAAGCAACCCCCACUUCCAACCAAGAGGUUGUGAGUUCGAGUCUCCCCAAGAGUAAAGGUGGGAAGCCGAGAGGUUGUGAGUUCGAGUCUGCCCAGGAGCAAGGUGGGAAGUUCUUGGAGGGAAGGAUGCCGGGGGUCUAUUUGGAAACAGGCCUCUCUACCCAGGGAUAGGGGUAAGGUCUGCGUACAUAAUAUCCUCCCCAGACCCCACUAAGUGGGAUUAUACUGGGUUGUUGUUGUUGAAAUACUGAUGCUGAUUAAAAAGAAAUACACAUGAUUCUACAUCUUUUCUUUUUCAUUUUUCUUACUAUAUGACAAGAGGGGCUUGGUCUGAUGGUAACCAACCCUCACUUACAACCGAGAGGUUGUGAGUUCGAGUCUCCCCAGGAGCAAAUUCUGGGGAUUUAUGCNNN